UAUUACUAAGCACCGUUCUGAAAGAUCUGCACACCAUACAGCAUUUCAACCUAGGCACUGAAGUCGGGAGCAGGCAGUGAUUGUGUCAUCAUGUUCCCAUUUUUCAUCGGUGAUUAUGGAGUUGAAGGAAACGUACGUAUAAUCAUGAUCUUCGUCGCCUCGACGUAUAUAUUCGGCUUAGUCGGCUUUUGCAUAGCGUAUUGCGCCACAAAAUGUGGUGAGAUCAGACGGAAGCGAAAGACAAGGCCGGUUGCUAUUUACUACACGCAGACGAGCGAUGGUGUCACCAAGGAGGAAGGGCCAAAACAGAAAGAUGACAAGGACAAUGCAAACAACAAGCAGGAGGUGUAGACGAAUCAUACCCUUCUCACGAAGGCAAUUAACAAGAAUGCUAAUAAACAGUAAGGGCACUAUAAGCUACACUGCUGGCAAUAUCAUUGAAGUGCACUGCAUUCGGUAAAUUGCUAAGUAUUUAAAGGUACCCAGUGCAGUGUUUAGGGCUUGGAAAUCCGAUUUUCAAAGUCAAUAUUCUAGUCACUUAUCCACAUACUGAGUUGAAACCACACUAUCCCAGUGUGUGGUUAGUGUGGGUCUUUUUGCUCCACCCAAAAUGCAGACGGAAAUAGUUACUGGAAGGGCCUUUGCCUGAUGUUUAGGGUACCACCCAGAAAA